AGUGAACGCUGGCGGUAGGCCUAACGCAUGCAAGUCGAACGGCAGCACAGUAAGAGCUUGCUCUUACGGGUGGCGAGUGGCGGACGGGUGAGGAAUACAUCGGAAUCUACUUUUUCGUGGGGGAUAACGUAGGGAAACUUACGCUAAUACCGCAUACGACCUACGGGUGAAAGCAGGGGAUCUUCGGACCUUGCGCGAUUGAAUGAGCCGAUGUCAGAUUAGCUAGUUGGCGGGGUAAAGGCCCACCAAGGCGACGAUCCGUAGCUGGUCUGAGAGGAUGAUCAGCCACACUGGAACUGAGACACGGUCCAGACUCCUACGGGAGGCAGCAGUGGGGAAUAUUGGACAAUGGGCGCAAGCCUGAUCCAGCCAUACCGCGUGGGUGAAGAAGGCCUUCGGGUUGUAAAGCCCUUUUGUUGGGAAAGAAAAGCAGCAGGUUAAUACCCCGCUGUUCUGACGGUACCCAAAGAAUAAGCACCGGCUAACUUCGUG
rnacentral:rRNA from 1 species